GACGAACGCUGGCGGCGUGCCUAACACAUGCAAGUCGAGCGAGAAUUUUCAACAGAUUCCUUCGGGAUGAAGUUGAAGAAGGAGAGCGGCGGACGGGUGAGUAACGCGUGAGUAACCUGCCCAUAAGAGGGGGAUAACGUUUGGAAACGAACGCUAAUACCGCAUAACAUAUCUUUACCGCAUGAUAGAGAUAUCAAGGGAGCAAUCCGCUGAGAGAUGGGCUCGCGUCCGAUUAGAUAGUUGGUGAGGUAACGGCUCACCAAGUCGACGAUCGGUAGCCGGACUGAGAGGUUGAACGGCCACAUUGGGACUGAGACACGGCCCAG
rnacentral:rRNA from 1 species